rnacentral:piRNA from 1 species
CCCACCUGUGAUGCUGGCCUG